rnacentral:rRNA from 1 species
AUGAUGACGGUAGCGUGAGAAGAAGCCCCGGCUAACUUCGUGCCAGCAGCCGCGGUAAUACGAAGGGGGCUAGCGUUGUUCGGAAUUACUGGGCGUAAAGGGCGCGUAGGCGGUGUGUCAAGUCAGGCGUGAAAGCCCCGGGCUCAACCUGGGAACCGCGCUUGAGACUGGCACGCUCGAGUUCGGGAGAGGAUGGUGGAAUUCCCAGUGUAGAGGUGAAAUUCGUAGAUAUUGGGAAGAACACCGAUGGCGAAGGCAGCCAUCUGGACCGACACUGACGCUGAGGCGCGAAAGCGUGGGGAGCAAACAGGAUUAGAUACCCUGGUAGUCCACGCCGUAAACGAUGAGUGCUAGACGUCGGGGCCCUCAGGGCUUCGGUGUCGCAGCUAACGCAUUAAGCACUCCGCCUGGGGAGUACGGCCGCAAGGUUAAAACUCAAAGGAAUUUGACGGAA